rnacentral:rRNA from 1 species
GACGAACGCUGGCGGCGUGCUUAACACAUGCAAGUCGAACGGACAGGCCCUACUUGCGGGGUGCUCGUGUGGCGAACGGGUGAGUAACACGUGGGUGAUCUGCCCCUUACUUUGGGAUAAGCCAGGUAAACUGGGUCUAAUACUGGCUAGGUGAAUGCUGUAGGCGGUGUGGUGGAAAGUUUAGUUCCGUUAAGCGAUGAGCUCGCGGCCUAUCCGCUUGUUGGUGGGGUAAUGGCCUACCAAGGCGUCGACGGGUAGCCGGCCUGCGAGAGUGGACGGCCACAUUGGGACUCAGAGACGGCCCAGACUCCGGCGGGUGGCAGCAGGGGGGAAUAUUUCACGAUGGGCGCACGCCUGAUGCAGCGACGCCGCGUGGUCGAUGACGGCUGUCGUGUUGUAAACUCCUUUCUGCCAGUACGAAGGCCUUGUGGUGACGGUAGUGGUAGGAGAAGCACCGGCUAAUUCCUU